AAUGAACGCUGGCGGCAGGCCUAACACAUGCAAGUCGAGCGAGCAUUUCGGUGCUAGCGGCGGACGGGUGAGUAACGCGUGGGAACGUGCCCUUUUCUGCGGAAUAGUCCUGGGAAACUGGGGGUAAUACCGCAUACGCCCUCUUGGGGAAAGAUUUAUCGGAGAAGGAUCGGCCCGCGUUGGAUUAGGUAGUUGGUGGGGUAAUGGCCCACCAAGCCCACGAUCGAUAGCUGGUUUGAGCGGAUGGUCAGCCACACUGGGACUGAGACACGGCCCAGACUCCUACGGGAGGCAGAAAUGGGGAAUCUUAGACAAGGGGGGCAACCCUGAUCUAGCCAUGCCGCGUGAGUGAUGAAGGCCUUAGGGAUGUAAAGCUCUUUCAGCUGGGAAGAUAAUGACGGUACCAGCAGGAGAAGCCCCGGCUAACUCCGUG
rnacentral:rRNA from 1 species